GUGGGGAAUAUUGCACAAUGGAGGAAACUCUGAUGCAGCGACGCCGCGUGAGUGAAGAAGGUUUUCGGAUCGUAAAGCUCUGUCCUUGGUGAAGAAAAAAAUGACGGUAGCCAAGGAGGAAGCCCCGGCUAACUACGUGCCAGCAGCCGCGGUAAUACGUAGGGGGCGAGCGUUGUCCGGAUUUACUGGGCGUAAAGGGUGAGUAGGCGGUUAUAUAAGUCAGAUGUAAAAGGCGUAGGCUCAACUUACGUAAGCAUUUGAAACUGUGUGACUUGAGUACAGGAGAGGUAAGCGGAAUUCCUAGUGUAGCGGUGAAAUGCGUAGAUAUUAGGAGGAACACCAGUGGCGAAGGCGGCUUACUGGACUGUAACUGACGCUGAGUCACGAAAGCGUGGGUAGCAAACAGGAUUAGAAACCCUAGUAGUCC
rnacentral:rRNA from 1 species